CAAUAAAUCAAGCGGAUGUGAAUUUCCCCCUUAAAUCAGGCGUAGACAGGCUCAUAGUCCCAGUCCAUCCCUUGCAAAUCACAACAAUGGCCAAAACCCCCCUCGGCACUCUCAUUCUCACCUCCGACUUCCUCUUUCUCUUCAUUGUUUACACAUUUUCUCUUGCCACUGCAAAAUCUCACCAUUUCUCGAGAACCUUAUCUCCAACCAAUCUUGGUCUCAAGAAAGAGAAGCUAAG
rnacentral:misc_RNA from 1 species